rnacentral:rRNA from 1 species
GACGAACGCUGGCGGCGUGCCUAAUACAUGCAAGUCGAGCGGGGCUGUUUGCUGGAAGCCUUCGGGCGGAAAGCUUGCAGCCUAGCGGCGGACGGGUGAGUAACGCGUGGGUAACCUGUCCUGAAGUACGGGAUAACAGUUCGAAAGGGCUGCUAAUACCGUAUGUGGUCAAGGGGAGUUCGCUUUCUUUGACUAAAGGUGAAAACCGCUUCAGGGUGGGCCCGCGUCCCAUUAGCUAGUUGGUAGGGUAAUGGCCUACCAAGGCGACGAUGGGUAGCCGGCCUGAGAGGGUGACCGGCCACACUGGGACUGAGACACGGCCCAGACUCCUACGGGAGGCAGCAGUAGGGAAUCUUGCGCAAUGGGGGAAACCCUGACGCAGCGACGCCGCGUGAGUGAAGAAGGCCUCGGUCGUAAGCUCUGUCCUCCGGGAACGAGUAAUGACGGUACCGGAGGAGGAAGCCCGGGCCUAACUAACGUGCCAGCAGCCGCGGUAAAUAAGCGUACU